CAGUCGCCGCGGUAAUACGUAGGUGGCAAGCGUUGUCCGGAAUUAUUGGGCGUAAAGGGCUCGCAGGCGGUUUCUUAAGUCUGAUGUGAAAGCCCCCGGCUCAACCGGGGAGGGUCAUUGGAAACUGGGAAACUUGAGUGCGGAAGAGGAGAGUGGAAUUCCACGUGUAGCGGUGAAAUGCGUAGAGAUGUGGAGGAACACCAGUGGCGAAGGCGACUCUCUGGUCUGUAACUGACGCUGAGGAGCGAAAGCGUGGGGAGCGAACAGGAUUAGAUACCCCCGUAGUCCCUGUCUCUUAUAA
rnacentral:rRNA from 1 species